rnacentral:tRNA from 1 species
AGAAAGAUGCCUGAUUAAAGGAAUAUUCUGAUAGAAUAAAUAAAGUAAAUAUUUACUCUUUCUA